rnacentral:lncRNA from 1 species
AUAUCAUUUUAGUGGAGUAAUUGAUAGAGCCAGAAGCGAAGGUAUAUAUGCGGAUGAAAGAAUGUUGUUGCUGUUGGUACAUGAGGUAAAGAGAAAAAUAGACAGUGGGAGGAGGAAAAGAAACCGCACGGAAGGUGGAGAAGGUGAGGAGAUGAUGAGUGGUGAUGGAGAAGUCGACGACAACGAUGAAACAAUUGGCAGUGGUGGCGACGAC